rnacentral:misc_RNA from 1 species
UUUCCAAAUUAUAAUUACAAUAUAGCACGUUCUAGUUCAUCAAAUAAACCGUAAAAAAAUUCAAAGCACAACCAAUCCUUUCCAAGCAUAGUUUAAUAGUUACACCAUAGACAAUAAUAGCAGUAAGUGUUACGGCCUCUGGCGACCUUAAGAUCCAUAGUCAAGAGCCAUAGAUUCCCUCAGAAGCCUCACAUCACAGCCACAAGUUUCAAAUCAAAAUAGAUUUUAGGGAUCAAGAAGGGGGACCUGUGAAACAGAACCAUCGUCGUGGAGAACAGCCGUCUAUUGAAGGACCCGGAAGAGAGAGUGAUAACAGCAGCAGGGUGAUAGAUA